GGCCUUGACAUACUAAGAACUUUCCAGAGAUGGAUUGGUGCCUUCGGGAACUUAGAUACAGGUGCUGCAUGGCUGUCGUCAGCUCGUGUCGUGAGAUGUUGGGUUAAGUCCCGNAACGAGCGCAACCCUUUUCCUUAUUUGCCAGCGGGUCAUGCCGGGAACUUUAAGGAUACUGCCAGUGACGAACUGGAGGAAGGCGGGGACGACGUCAAGUCAUCAUGGCCCUUACGGCCAGGGCUACACGCGUGCUACAAUGGUCGGUACAAAGGGUUGCUACCUCGCGAGAGGAUGCUAAUCUCAAAAAGCCGAUCGUAGUCCGGAUCGCAGUCUGCAACUCGACUGCGUGAAGUCGGAAUCGCUAGUAAUCGCGGAUCAGAAUGCCGCGGUGAAUACGUUCCCGGGCCUUGUACACACCGCCCGUCACACCAUGGGAGUUUGUUGCACCAGAAGUAGGUAGUCUAACCGCAAGGAGGACGCUUACCACGGUGUGGCCGAUGACUGGGGUGAAGUCGUAACAAGGUAAGCGUAGAUGA
rnacentral:rRNA from 1 species